UACGUAGGGGGCGAGCGUUGUCCGGAUUUAUUGGGCGUAAAGAGCUCGUAGGCGGUUCGAUAAGUCGGACGUGAAAUCUCCACGCUCAACGUGGAGGGGCCGUUCGAUACUGUCGUGACUCGAGUCCGGUAGGGGAGUGUGGAAUUCCCGGUGUAGCGGUGAAAUGCGCAGAGAUCGGGAGGAACACCCGUAGCGAAGGCGGGUCUCUGGGCCGUAACUGACGCUGAGGAGCGAAAGCAUGGGGAGCGAACAGG
rnacentral:rRNA from 1 species